rnacentral:rRNA from 1 species
AACGGCGAGUGAAGCGGCAACAGCUCAAAUUUGAAAUCUGGCCCUCGGGUCCGAGUUGUAAUUUGUAGAGGAUGCUUUUGGUGAGGUGCCUUCCGAGUUCCCUGGAACGGGACGCCAUAGAGGGUGAGAGCCCCGUCUGGUCGGACACUGAUCCUCUGUAAAGCUCCUUCGACGAGUCGAGUAGUUUGGGAAUGCUGCUCUAAAUGGGAGGUAUAUGUCUUCUAAAGCUAAAUACCGGCCAGAGACCGAUAGCGCACAAGUAGAGUGAUCGAAAGAUGAAAAGCACUUUGAAAAGAGAGUUAAAAAGUACGUAAAUUGUUGAAAGGGAAGCGCUCAUGACCAGACUUGGGCUUGGUUGAUCAUCGGGAGUUCUCUCCCGUGCACUCUUCCUCGUUCAGGCCAGCAUCAGUUCGCUGCGGGGGAUAAAAGCUUCGGGAAUGUGGCUCCCUCGGGAGUGUUAUAGCCCGUUGCAUAAUACCCUGCGGUGGACUGAGGUCCGCGUUCUGCAAGGAUGCUGGCGUAAUGGUCAUCAGUGACCCGUCUUGAAACACGGACCAAGGAGUCGUCUUCGUAUGCGAGUGUUCGGGUGUUAAACCCCUACGCGUAAUGAAAGUGAACGCAGGUGAGAGCUUCGGCGCAUCAU